UACAGAGGGUGCGAGCGUUGUCCGGAAUCACUGGGCGUAAAGGGUUCGUAGGCGGUGUAGCAAGUCGGGAGUGAAAUCUCUGGGCUUAACCCAGAGGCUGCUUCCGAAACUGCUGUGCUUGAGUGUGGGAGAGGCGCGUGGAAUUGCAGGUGUAGCGGUGAAAUGCGUAGAUAUCUGCAGGAACACCCGUGGCGAAAGCGGCGCGCUGGACCACUACUGACGCUGAGGAACGAAAGCUAGGGGAGCAAACAGG
rnacentral:rRNA from 1 species